CAGUGAAAUUGAACUCGCUGUGAAGAUGCAGUGUACCCGCGGCAAGACGGAAAGACCCCGUGAACCUUUACUAUAGCUUGACACUGAACAUUGAGCCUUGAUGUGUAGGAUAGGUGGGAGGCUUAGAAGUGUGGACGCCAGUCUGCAUGGAGCCGACCUUGAAAUACCACCCUUUAAUGUUUGAUGUUCUAACGUUGACCCGUAAUCCGGGUUGCGGACAGUGUCUGGUGGGUAGUUUGACUGGGGCGGUCUCCUCCUAAAGAGUAACGGAGGAGCACGAAGGUUGGCUAAUCCUGGUCGGACAUCAGGAGGUUAGUGCAAUGGCAUAAGCCAGCUUGACUGCGAGCGUGACGGCGCGAGCAGGUGCGAAAGCAGGUCAUAGUGAUCCGGUGGUUCUGAAUGGAAGGGCCAUCGCUCAACGGAUAAAAGGUACUCCGGGGAUAACAGGCUGAUACCGCCCAAGAGUUCAUAUCGACGGCGGUGUUUGGCACCUCGAUGUCGGCUCAUCACAUCCUGGGGCUGAAGUAGGUCCCAAGGGUAUGGCUGUUCGCCAUUUAAAGUGGUACGCGAGCUGGGUUUAGAACGUCGUGAGACAGUUCGGUCCCUAUCUGCCGUGGGCGCUGGAGAACUGAGGGGGGCUGCUCCUAGUACGAGAGGACCGGAGUGGACGCAUCACUGGUGUUCGGGUUGUCAUGCCAAUGGCACUGCCCGGUAGCUAAAUGCGGAAGAGAUAAGUGCUGAAAGCAUCUAAGCACGAAACUUGCC
rnacentral:rRNA from 1 species